rnacentral:lncRNA from 1 species
AGAGCCAAUGAAGUAGAUUUGUGUCUCCCACAUGACUGUGUUUCCCCUGUCUUUCACAUGGGCAGUAUUUAGUUCAAUUCAGAACUGCAGAUAGUACAGCCUGCUUUGCAGCAAUGGGAUGUCUGAACACAAGUGGCUGACUUCCGAGUGACUUUAUGAAGCACUUUUAUACUUUCCUCCUGCAUUAAACUGGGAUUCUGCAUUCUUGGCACUCCCUCAUCAGACUCUUCUCUGCUGCAGGGAACUGAGUAUUUAGUACAGCUUAGCAUUAUGAAACUGAAUCUGAGCAGAAUUGCAGACCAGCAAAUUAAAAGAGGCUGAAGGCAAUUUGACCAGCAUCUUCUAUGUUCAGUCCACAGAGGUUGAUGAAGCACCAAGUCUCCAAGGUUGAGCUUCAAGAUAAUAUGAUGAUGUUGCAUUCAAGAGGGCUCUUUAGAAAAAGAAGGAAAAGUAUGAACUAUGAACAAGAAGAAAGUGAUGGCACCCUGGAAUUUCUACAGAAUCACUUGCUGAGCUGAUAAAAUCUAUUAACCUGUUUUGGGAUCCACAAAGUCAUUGAAGCUGCACCUGCUAACAUCGGGUCCAAAUUUGGCCUACAAGCUUCUCAGUGUUUCAUAAGUAUAAAUUCUAUGUUCGUUCAUGAAGCAUUAUAAAAGCCUGAUGUCUGAAAAAUAUUAUUAACCUCUUGUAAUAGCUAAGAUAAAAGAAUAAAUCUAGUUGUAUCUACUCUUAACUAUAAUAA